UUUAGAGUUUGAUCCAUGGCUCAGAACGAACGCUGGCGGCGUGCUUAACACAUGCAAGUCGAGCGAGAAAGUCUCCGCAAGGGGAUGAGUACAGCGGCGAACGGGUGAGUAACACGUGGGCAACCUGCCCUUCAGUCAGGAAUAACCCCGCGAAAGCGGGGCUAAUACCAGAUGAUGUUCCUUAGGGGCAUCCCUGAGAAAUCAAAGGGGGCGAGCGCAAGCGGCUCUCACUGAAGGAUGGGCCUGCGGCUGAUUAGCUAGUUGGUGGGGUAACGGCCUACCAAGGCGACGAUCAGUAGCCGACCUGAGAGGGUGACCGGCCNCACUGGGACUGAGACACGGCCCAGACUCCUACGGGAGGCAGCAGUGGGGAAUAUUGCGCAAUGGGCGAAAGCCUGACGCAGCGACGCCGCGACUGGUGAUGAAGGCCUUCGGGUCGUAAAACCCUGUCGGGGGAACGAAUCCCCCCCCCGCAAAUAGCGGUUGGAAUGACGANGCACCGAAGAAGCCCCG
rnacentral:rRNA from 1 species